GACGAACGCUGGCGGCGUGCUUAACACAUGCAAGUCGAGCGGUAAGGCCCUUUCGGGGGUACACGAGCGGCGAACGGGUGAGUAACACGUGGGUGACCUGCCCUCAGCUCUGGGAUAAGCCUGGGAAACCGGGUCUAAUACUGGAUAUGACUCCAUGACGCAUGUUGUGGGGUGGAAAGCCUUGUGCGGCUGAGGAUGGGCCCGCGGCCUAUCAGCUUGUUGGUGGGGUGANGGCCUACCAAGGCGACGACGGGUAGCCGGCCUGAGAGGGCGACCGGCCACACUGGGACUGAGACACGGCCCAGACUCCUACGGGAGGCAGCAGUGGGGAAUAUUGGACAAGUGGGCGAAAGCCUGAUCCAGCGAUGCCGCGUGUGUGAAGAAGGCCU
rnacentral:rRNA from 1 species